UGUAUAUAUUACCGGGGUUUUCUCAAAGCUGCGGGACGAGUUACGCGCCGAAAUUUGGCGGAAGAAUAAUAAACCCGAAACAGAAUAUUAAUAGAAUAGCUCCGCCCCGAGGCACUCCUCUCAGCUAUUCUAGCUGUAGAGGAGUGCCUUGGAGCUGAGCACCCGUGGCACUAAUUAGUGUAUACUAACACAAUUAAGUUCUGUUUUGCAGAGACGGUUGCCUGCUUUCAUCCUGUCCUCUCUUUCAAUACUAUACUGUAUGAUGUCUCACUCGCUGUUUAUUUGUAGUUUCAGAUGAAUGCUCUGACCACCUCUCUUCUGAAAGACCCCUGAGCCCCGACUCCUCUAAUAUUGCCACAUCAACUUCUGCGCCACAUGUCCCACAUAAAGGACAAAAAAGAGCCCGAGAAGAAGUGGAUGACGUUGCAGGUCCUGACAAAAGUGGAGAUGGGAGCUCAGAAACGGAUGAUCAGAAGACAAAGAAGAAGAAAAGGAAAGGAAAGGAAAGGAAAAGAGCCACCCCAAGUGAGACGACCAUGUACUGAAACCGAAAAGAUUUCAGUAAAAAAGCACCUCGGAAGGUUUAUGGCAGAGAGACGAGUAACUGGCAAACAAGAUUGUGUACGGGCACUACAGGCAGAGAAAACCCUUGGUGGAAGAACCUGGAAGAACGUAAAGGAUUACGUUUACAACAGAAUUGUGAUGUUAAAUAGGA